GUUUAAUGUUCUGUUUAUUAUAUGGACUUACUCAGAGUGACAAAAAUACACACAAAGACGACAUGUAAAUAAGCACGCGAAAGACCAGUAUAAAAGCGAUAUUUUUUAAAUUAUACUGCAAACAUAAAACUAGAAUAAAUUUUACUUAUCUCAAGAUGUCUUUUAAAUGUUUUCGUUUUAUUUCCAACGUUAAUUUCGUUUCAAAUACGAACCAAAGACCAUUUGUAUUUUCAAAACAACAACAGUGAAAAUGGCGGGAAAUUUUCAAAACUUCGUAUGGCACUAGCAGGG